ensembl:lncRNA
AUGGAGAUCCCAGGCGUCCGACUCCUAUGCCUGGAGCAACUGGACCGUUCGCUGGAGGACCAUACCAGGGACUUUUUCGAUCUGGCGUGCCUUACAGACUUCCCGGACCGCUCGCUCUGUGCGUUUUACUAUGCUGGCCUGAGCGAGCGGUGUAAGGCACGCCUCCCAGCGAACGGUCCCAGAGAGGAUUUCGCCGCGUUCGUGGAGUGGGUGCUGGAGCAAAACGGAUCUCCGUUCACCGUCUGCCCCGCUGAGGAGGAGAUCUCCAGCCCCACUCCCGACCCAGAGACCAGCCAGCCAUCACCCCGCUGCACGGAGCUAGAGACCGCCGCAGCCGCAGAGCCCGAGCCUAUCGCCGACAGGGAGGAGGAACUCGAGAGUGCGACUGACCAGGUGUGUGAGCCGGCAACCCCGUGCGUCGUGGGACGAUUGGUGGAGAUCGAGGGCGUGGAGGAGCGCCCCGCCCACACUCCUGCGACUGAGGGUGAGCUGCAUGCGGUUUCUGGGAAGUAUACAGAAGAACUUAUGGAUCUAAUAGACUGGUUAGGGGAGGUUAUUCCCAACCCUUCUGUUUCUCCGCUGGUUCCACCCAGCCCUGAUUCUCCUGUUUUUCCGCUGGUUCCGUCCAGCCCUGAUCCUUCUGUGUUCCCUCUCAUCCUCCCUCUCCCACCUCCUCUUCGACCUGUCAGUUCCUCUGCUCCUCCGCUGGUUCCGUCCAGCCCUGAUCCUUCUGUGUUCCCUCCCAUCCUCCCUCUCCCGCCUCCUCUUCGACCUGUCAGUUCCUCUGCUCCUCUUCCGCUGGUUCCGCCCAGCCUCGACCCUUCUGUUUCUCCACUGGUUCCGCCCAGUCCAGAUCCUUCUGUCUUUCCUCCCAUCCUCCCUCUCUCAUCUCGUCCUAGACCAGUCAGUUCCUCGUCCUCAUCCCCGCUGGUGCCAGUCAGUCCCGCAGCUCACCCUCAGUCCGCGCCAUCUGGGCGCGGAGUUUCGCAGCAGGACUUCCAGUCACCACCUCCACCUGGGCGUGUGGAUUCCCUGCCUCCGCCUCCAGCCUCCGAGUCCUGGACUCCUCCUCGGUCCUUCGACCCGGCGGCUCCGCCUUGGCUCCUAGCUCCCUCGUCUCCACCGUGGCCCGGCACCCACCUGCUCCACCGGGCUCCCUCGUCCCUCCGGCUCCACCUUGGUCAGUCGUCGACCAUCCGCCGCCUCGGGACUCCAUUCCUCUGGCUUCGCCUCGUCGCUCCAUCCCUCCGGCUCUGUCAGGCUCCUCCUUCCCUUCGGCUCCACCCCAUCCUCAGUCACUCCGGCUCCGCAGCGGUCUUCCGGUGCCCCGCCUCCGCCUUGGUCGCCUGAGCCUUCUGCUCCGCCUUGGCCCUCCGGAUCCUCGGGGUCACCCUGGCUCUGCGGUUGCUCGGCUCCGUCUUGGACUCCUCUGCCAUCGGCUCAGUCUCCGUCAGUCGGCCCCCUGGUGUUGUCGGCCCCUCCUCCACCAUGGCUCCUCCCACCGUCGACUCCACCAUGGGCCGCUUUCCUGGCUGGCCUCUGGAUAUCCAUCUGGCUCCUACUGCUCCGGGCUCCUCCAUGGCUCCUCCCUCCAUCCACUCCACCCUGGUACCAUGCUCCAUGCUCCUUCUCCAUUGCCUGCCCCUUGCCUGCCCCACGCCCACCUCCUGAACCCCCACCCUCCCUCCGCUGGACUAUCUCUUUCGGUGCGAGGACGCACCGUUCCGGGAGGGGGCGAACUGUCACAGUCAUGGACUUUCUGUUCCUUUUCUGUUAUCCCUAUUUGGUCAUGUUCCGUUCCAUUCCUCGUUUUGUUAAUUGAUUACUCCCCACCUGUUUCCACUCCUCUGAUUACUUUCCUGGUGUUUAAAAGCCCUGUUUGUUUAGUUCCUCCUGUUCCGCUAUUGUUCAUGUUGAGGUUUAUGUUGAUUAUUGAGUGUUUAGUGUUAUAGGUGAUGUUGGAUUGUUGACCUGUUCCUCUUGAGAUUUACCUGGAUUAUUAAAGAAUACCCUGGUAUACCUUCUUCUUCGAGCGCUUUACUCAGCACGCCAGCCCGGGUGUGACAGUUAUAUUUUUAAUCUGACUUAUGUUUGUGAUUUUUGUUUCCAGAUGUUUUUUUUUUUUUUAAAUGUUUAAUCAUUCAGAUUUGGACUGGGCUGGAGGACAAAGACAAUUAUUCAUGCACACAUUAACAUUUGAAAAGAUAUGAUCAAAAUGUUUUAUCACAACCAAGUUAUAUUUUAGCAUUUAUCCUGUAUUUUUCUCAGAGAGAGAGAGAGAUAAAAAUUUUGGAACUACAUUGUGUUACUGCUGUUGGCAUGGCUACAUUGCUUCCAUAGGGAUAUGAUUAAUCUGUAUAGUCUGUAUUAAUAUUCAUCUGAGGUCAUUAAAAUAUACUGAAUUCUGGAAAAUUCUAUGGUAUUUAUAGUAAUGGAUAAUUUACUGUAUUGUUAUAAUUACUAAUGUGUAAAAAUACUCUGU